CCCCUUUUCUUUUGAUUGCACCCGCCCUAUAUCGGGCCUGCCGGUUUCGGCCGGCUAUGGUGAUAAAUUGCGGCGUGCAAUAGGCACAGCGGACCCGGGGGCAGUACCCGGCGGCUCCACCACCUCUCUCGUUGUCGCGGGGGAAAUGACGGGGCCGAACCAGGAUCGACGUGUGUUGAAAAGCGUUGUUUUCACCCGGGCUGAGUAACCCGUUCAAGGCUCAAAACUCACAAGUGCCAACGACAACGAAGCACUUGCUCUCGCCGCGUAACCUGACGGCCUAACGGCCUGAUCUUACAAAGCGAAAGCACGGUUCGGACCGAACCGGGUAACAGAAUCGGAAACC
rnacentral:tmRNA from 1 species